rnacentral:tRNA from 1 species
GCGCAUUUCUGGGUGACGGGGCCUUUUCUUACCUCUAGCGUGAGAACGAGGGUCUGGAUCCAAGGUUCGAUGGAUCGAUUCGCGCUCC